UACGUAGGGGGCAAGCGUUGUCCGGAAUCAUUGGGCGUAAAGCGCGCGUAGGCGGCCCGAUAAGUCCGCUGUGAAAGUCGGGGGCUCAACCCUCGAAUGCCGGUGGAUACUGUCGGGCUAGAGUGCGGAAGAGGCGAGUGGAAUUCCUGGUGUAGCGGUGAAAUGCGCAGAUAUCAGGAGGAACACCGAUUGCGAAGGCAGCUCGCUGGGACGUCACUGACGCUGAGACGCGAAAGCGUGGGGAGCAAACAGG
rnacentral:rRNA from 1 species